rnacentral:rRNA from 1 species
CAUGCAAGUCGAGCGGAUGAGAGGAGCUUGCUCCUGGAUUCAGCGGCGGACGGGUGAGUAAUGCCUAGGAAUCUGCCUGGUAGUGGGGGACAACGUUUCGAAAGGAACGCUAAUACCGCAUACGUCCUACGGGAGAAAGCAGGGGACCUUCGGGCCUUGCGCUAUCAGAUGAGCCUAGGUCGGAUUAGCUAGUUGGUGAGGUAAUGGCUCACCAAGGCGACGAUCCGUAACUGGUCUGAGAGGAUGAUCAGUCACACUGGAACUGAGACACGGUCCAGACUCCUACGGGAGGCAGCAGUGGGGAAUAUUGGACAAUGGGCGAAAGCCUGAUCCAGCCAUGCCGCGUGUGUGAAGAAGGUCUUCGGAUUGUAAAGCACUUUAAGUUGGGAGGAAGGGCAGUAAAUUAAUACUUUGCUGUUUUGACGUUACCGACAGAAUAAGCACCGGCUAACUCUGUGCCAGCAGCCGCGGUAAUACAGAGGGUGCAAGCGUUAAUCGGAAUUACUGGGCGUAAAGCGCGCGUAGGUGGUUCGUUAAGUUGGAUGUGAAAUCCCCGGGCUCAACCUGGGAACUGCAUUCAAAACUGUCGAGCUAGAGUAU